rnacentral:rRNA from 1 species
UACGUAGGGGGCAAGCGUUGUCCGGAAUCAUUGGGCGUAAAGAGCGUGUAAGCGGUCCGGUAAGUCGGCUGUGAAAGUCCAGGGCUCAACCCUGGGAUGCCGGUCGAUACUGCCGGACUAGAGUUCGGAAGAGGCGAGUGGAAUUCCCGGUGUAGCGGUGAAAUGCGCAGAUAUCGGGAGGAACACCUAUGGCGAAGGCAGCUCGCUGGGACGUUACUGACGCUGAGACGCGAAAGCGUGGGGAGCGAACAGG